GGGGAUUUGGCUCAGUGGCAUAAGCGCCUGCCUGGCAAGCAUGAGGUUAUGAGUUUAAUCCCUG
rfam:Cavia porcellus supercont2_3 genomic scaffold, whole genome shotgun sequence.